rnacentral:rRNA from 1 species
UGGGGAAUAUUGGACAAUGGGCGAAAGCCUGAUCCAGCCAUGCCGCGUGAGUGACGAAGGCCUUAGGGUUGUAAAACUCUUUCGUCGGGGACGAUAAUGACGGUACCCGAAGAAGAAGCUCCGGCUAACUUCGUGCCAGCAGCCGCGGUAAUACGAAGGGAGCUAGCGUUGUUCGGAAUCACUGGGCGUAAAGCGCACGUAGGCGGAUAGUUAAGUCAGGGGUGAAAUCCUGGGGCUCAACCCCAGAACUGCCUUUGAUACUGGCUGUCUCGAGGUCGAGAGAGGUUGGUGGAAUUCCUAGUGUAGAGGUGAAAUUCGUAGAUAUUAGGAAGAACACCAGUGGCGAAGGCGGCCAACUGGCUCAAUACUGACACUGAGGUGCGAAAGCGUGGGGAGCAAACAGGAUUAGAUACCCCGGUAGUCCCUGAGCGGGCUGGCAAGGCGCAU